rnacentral:rRNA from 1 species
GCCAGUCUGCAUGGAGCCGGCCUUGAAAUACCACCCUUUAAUGUUUGAUGUUCUAACGUGGACCCGUGAUCCGGGUUGCGGACAGUGUCUGGUGGGUAGUUUGACUGGGGCGGUCUCCUCCUAAAGAGUAACGGAGGAGCACGAAGGUUGGCUAAUCCUGGUCGGACAUCAGGAGGUUAGUGCAAUGGCAUAAGCCAGCUUGACUGCGAGCGUGACGGCGCGAGCAGGUGCGAAAGCAGGUCAUAGUGAUCCGGUGGUUCUGAAUGGAAGGGCCAUCGCUCAACGGAUAAAAGGUACUCCGGGGAUAACAGGCUGAUACCGCCCAAGAGUUCAUAUCGACGGCGGUGUUUGGCACCUCGAUGUCGGCUCAUCACAUCCUGGGGCUGAAGUAGGUCCCAAGGGUAUGGCUGUUCGCCAUUUAAAGUGGUACGCGAGCUGGGUUUAGAACGUCGUGAGACAGUUCGGUCCCUAUCUGCCGUGGGCGCUGGAGAACUGAGGGGGGCUGCUCCUAGUACGAGAGGACCGGAGUGGACGCAUCACUGGUGUUCGGGUUGUCAUGCCAAUGGCACUGCCCGGUAGCUAAAUGCGGAAGAGAUAAGUGCUGAAAGCAUCUAAGCACGAAACUUGCCCCGAGAUGAGUUCUCCCUGAGACUUAGAGUCUCCUGAAGGAACGUUGAAGACGACGACGUUGAUAGGCCGGGUGUGUAAGCGCAGCGAUGCGUUGAGCUAACCGGUACUAAUGAACCGUGAGGCUUAACCUUACAACGCCGAA